GAUGAACGCUGGCGGCGUGCCUAAUACAUGCCAGUCGAGCGAACGGACGAGAAGCUUGCUUCUCUGAUGUUAGCGGCGGACGGGUGAGUAACAUGUGGAUAACCUACCUAUAAGACUGGGAUAACUUCGGGAAACCGGAGCUAAUACCGGAUGAUAUUUUGAACCGCAUGGUUCAAAAGUGAAAGACGGUCUUGCUGUCACUUAUAGAUGGAUCCGCGCUGCAUUAGCUAGUUGGUAAGGUAACGGCUUACCAAGGCAACGAUGCAUAGCCGACCUGAGAGGGUGAUCGGCCACACUGGAACUGAGACACGGUCCAGACUCCUACGGGAGGCAGCAGUAGGGAAUCUUCCGCAAUGGGCGAAAGCCUGACGGAGCAACGCCGCGUGAGUGAUGAAGGUCUUCGGAUCGUAAAACUCUGUUAUUAGGGAAGAACAUAUGUGUAAGUAACUGUGCACAUCUUGACGGUACCUAAUCAGAAAGCCACGGCUAACUACGUG
rnacentral:rRNA from 1 species